AUCGCUUCUCGGCCUUUCAGCUAAGAUCAAGUGGAGUAGCUGUUCUUAUCGGUUUAAUAUCUGACACAUCCUCUAUCCGAGACAAUAUACUAAACACAGUGAGACACCAA
rnacentral:snRNA from 1 species